ensembl:snoRNA
UGAGCUGUGAUGAUGAAGACUUUACGUCACUGUCCUGAGUCAGGCUGAUGGUUUUAAGUCACUACCUCAUCUGAGCUGUCA